rnacentral:lncRNA from 1 species
CUGUUCGGUUACUUGGUUCCGCCUCGGUGGAGCUUACGGUUCAUAAAGUUAACCUCAGGGGUAGACAAUCUUGGCGAGAUGAAAGAUGGGGUCUGAUCGAAAAGGUGUCUUGUUCUGUGAAGUCCUCUACGUUGACUGGUUCUUAUGUAAACCAGAAGAAGCUUAAGCCACGUGAGAGGAGUGUUGUUUCUAUAAGACUGGUGAAGAGACCUUCACCCUGUGAGUCUGCUGAAUCUUGCACGGGAACUCCUAAGAAGAUGAGAUUGACGGAAGGAGGUGCUGCUACUUGCUGUCAAAUGGUGAGGGUAAGAACAAAAAGGUUUAGUGAUGAUGCAUGCUCGGUUGGUAGUUGUAGCCCUAUUAGAUAUGAUGAGUCAACUUCUUUUCUAGAUGGUGGUUCUAGCCAAGACGCAGACUCUUAUACUAGUGAUGCAGAAUCUUCAAAAGGAUGCAGACAAGAAGUGAGGAGGUCCUGUAGGCCUGAACUGUCCACGUACCGGAGUACACUGGGGAAGUUAUUUGCUCAAGGACCGCUUAACUGGGAUCAGGAAGCAUCACUAACGGAUCUCCGACUUUCUCUGAAUAUAUCAAAUGAUGAACAUUUGAUGGAGAUAAGAAACCUAACGUCUUCUGCUGGUACAAGACAAUAGUAAAUUUUGUUAGUAAUCAAAUAUUCUUUUUGAUCAUUAACAAUCUUAUCUUCAGGUACUUCCCUGCAAUGUGGAAUCAGCUGUUACAUAUUGUUCUUUUCCAAGAGGGUUCUUAUAGUGAUGAUCUGUAUAGGCAACAGAGUGGAAGAAAGUAUGUAUGGAAACUCCAAUCCUUAUUGUGAUGUUCUUCUUCUUAUAGUCAGCUUAAUUUUCUUUUGUUAUACUUUUGGGAUAUUGAACUACGAAAUGUUACAGUAUAUAUGCUUUAACAUAAGUCAUGUUUUGAGGAUUGAGUUUUUUUUUUGGUCGUCUUUCAUUGAUUUACGCUUUAGAUUCUGUUGGAUAAGCUAUUUGUAUUUUCAUUAUUAUUGGUUGGAUUAUGGAACUUCCCUACAUUUUUUCAGGAACAGUGCUGCAGAUCUUGCUUCUAGAGAUCUUUACUCAGAUGCAUUGGGUUUACCUAUCCGUGCAAAACACGAGGCCCCUUCUUACUCAAAUACAUAAGUUAAAUUGUACCGUCUUUUUUCUUUUUGGUUAUUCCAAACUGAUCUGUUGCAGGUAUUGUUGGAUCAACUCUGUUCACAGGCACUUGGUAUGUUCCUGUUCUAAGGAGGAAAUUCACGGUCUGGUUGGAUAAGUUCGGUGAUAACAAAGUGCACACCUGAGAGACUAUUGAGUUGUGCCAAAUACUUACGGCAAUAGUCUUUUUAAUCUUUCAGUAGGUAUGAUUCUCAUGAUAUCUCUUCUAAACACACUCUGAAUCCGGAGCUGUCCAUUUUUGUUAGUUUGUGCCAUGUGUACUUCAGUUCAAUACUAAGUGGAUUCAUAUGUUUGAAUAAAACAAAAAUUAGAUGGGCCUUUUAUUAAGUUUGGGGUCGUUACAUUAUCUUUGAUUGUGAUGCUAAUGAUGUUAUUCAAGGUCUCUUAAGCUUUAAAGUGUGGCCUACAAUGCAAUGCUAACAACAAAACAUUUUCACUCGGACCAUAUAAUUGACUUUACAAGCUUCAAGAUAUAUUUUAAGCGAGGAGAAUGUACGUAACAAAAUUGCUCACUAUUAACACACAGCCAGUCUUUGGCUCAUACCAUUAGACUAAAACAAUAUAUGAACAUUUGUGGCUGCAAUUUAUAAUAAAAAAAGUUGGCUUGGCCCAGAGGCCGGCUAGUUACACAUAUAUAUUCAACCUUUUGAUUCAUGAUUUAGUCAACUGUUCCAAUCUGUUUACAACAUUUAAUAGAGGCUGAUAAACAGGUGAUGUAUACGUUAAAUGAAAAGAUGGUGAACUUUUAAGAAAAUAAAAUUUUGAUCAAUUAUACGGAAAUUAUUUAUGAAAAUUAUGGUUGUCAUUGCAGUGGCUUCUUCAAAUAAGGACGUUCGUUGCUUUUCUGACAGUAGUUUCUUGGUAAAAUAAAAACAAAAGUAGUUUCAGUUAUAACAAGACAUGAAAAAAUAGAAACGAAAAACAAAAUCACUCUACUAGAUUAAAAUUUGACGGCAGAGAGGGCAAGAGUUACUGGUCUGUAACCACUCGGCGAUACAUCUAAGAUGAAACCGAUGCGAACAAGGAAACACCAGUUUCAUCUUUUCAUCAUUCAACAUGUCCUCUAAGCAUAUGGCACAGGUCGACUCUUUUUCUUCGUCUUCUUCCUCCUCCUCUUUUUGAUGAGAACACGUUCCCGUGACGAACACGUUUUCGGUAGUAACCACGUCAACGAACAUGCGAUAAGGUUUUCCUAUGUGUUGAAUCGCACAAUAGGCCAUCUUCUGGGUGAUAAGAUCAGAUGUAUGAGGAGAAAGGAGGUGAUAAUCGAUGAGCGAGAACAGAUAUGACGGACUAAAGUCGUAGUCGUGGAAAUCCAAAUUGAUUUGAGCGAAAUAACUCGGAGAUGGGUAACGUCCAGUACAAGUCUUUGUUUCUGACGAUUCGUCGAUGGCUAAUCUCUGGAUUUGGUUUACAAGAUUGAUGCAAAUACUAUUGCGUGCAGAGGGGUGAUGAGGAACAGGGGUUCCGUCGACAUCGAUCGAUACUAAAGUAGUCUCCAUUGUUUUUUUUUUUGGGGAACAAAUCAAAAGCAGAGAAAGAGAUAUGAGAGCAAUCGUUUGAAUGAGAGAAGAACUGAGUGUUGAUAUACGACGACACUUUUUUCUCGAACGAUAAAGUUUCCUGUUUCAUUCUUAACUUAAUUUCCUCUUUUGUUAAAGAAAAACUUAAUAUGCUUUUUUUUUUCUUAAAAUUCGAAAGUUAUUGGUGUUUCCAUUUUUGGUUGUUCCAUUUUUCUUAAAAAACGAACGUUAUUUGUUUAGUAAUUUAUUAGGCAAAGAAGAAAUAACCAAAAUUGUCCAACUUAACUAAAAUUUCAAGUAACAGAAAUUGUCAAAACCAUCUAAAUCAAAUCUAAAAUUUUAAAAGAACUGAAUUUAUCAAAAAUUUAUAGCUUAUUCUUUUUAAAAAAUAAAUAUAUGAUAUCAACUAAAAAUAUAUUUGUCUUAAUUAUUUUGUCCAAAACAUAAUCAGAUAUAAGCCGACUCUGAAUCUGAAGUAACCCAAGCCAAAAGCGAUCAUAUUUGGAUCAAUAUGUUCUUAUGUGAGUUUGUGUUUGUGCAGAGAUCGAAAAUGUCAAAUACAGUAUGCUUAUUGUAUGACAAAAAUGAUGUUAGUAUAUAUCCCUAUGCAUUGGUGACUGUGUUGUUAAACAUGAUUCAUGUUUUGAAGAAUAUUUUUGUGUGCCUAAUAUCUAGAAAGCCCUAAAAGGUAAAAGGUGCCUGGAUGCAGUUGCAAAAAUGAUAAAAAUGAUGUUACCAACUCCAAGCUCGACAUCAUUCUCUAUAUUAUAACACACUUGUUGAUAAGAUCCUAAUAUCCGAUUCACUAAGUAAUUGUUAUGUUUGAGGAAACAAUUAUAUAAUGAAACAUUUGUUGAUCAAGAAGCAGAUGUUUCUUGGUAUUCAGGUAAUAAGCAGACGUUUGUUGACCAAUGCUUUUAAUUUGUUGGGUAACAUAUAAUCUCUAGUGUCAAGUUCUCAUUGUGUUAUGUUACCAAAAAAAGAAAGAAAAACAAGGAAUCUGAAGUAGUUUCAAUUACAAUACAUUUUAAAAAAAACGUAAGAAGCAGAUCACUCAAAAUCACUCUUUACGAACACAAUUUCACGGCAGAGAGGGCAAGAGUUGCGACUCUGUAACCACUUGCUGAUACAUCUAAAGUGAAACUGAUGCGAACAAUGUGGCAAUUUCAACUGUUUGUUAGUCCACAAAUCCUCCAAACAGAUGGCACAUGUCGUUUCUUUCUUUAGGGUCUCUUCUUUUCCAGGAAGACAAGAAACAGGAAUCUUGUGGAACACGUCUUGGACCAAAACAACGUUAACGGCCAUGAGGUAAGGUUCUAGUAGAAACCCGUUGUUCCGAGCCGCUUGUUCAGCCAUCUUCUCGACGAUCUGACGAGACAAGUAAGGAUUAUGGAGAUGGGAAUCGAGACGAGAAAGAAGAUCUUGUGAACUGGUUUUGUCUUUAUAGAGAUUCAAGCAGAUAUGAGGGACGGGAAGAGGAGGCGCGGGGUAAAGUCCAAUACAAUUGAUGGUUCCAUCAGAUUCGUCAACGACAUGUCUCUGGAGUUUGUGGAAGAGAUUGAUGCAAGCUGUAUUGAGGUAGCUUCUAGUGCUCAACGACACACUCACAUCUAUAUGUACUUUAACAUCUCGUGGAACCGUCUUCAUUUUGUGAGGAAAUGUCAACAAGUAAAGACGCAGAGAAAGAGAGUGCCGCUGAUGCUAUUAUUAUAUAGAACAGUUUUGUUCAAACAAUAAAAGUUUCCUUUUUUAUUUCAACCUUAUUUCCUUUUUUCUUAUACUCAAAAGUUCAUUUUUUCUUAUACUCUAAAUUAAACGUUCCUUUUAUUGUUUCCUUUUUCCAUUUUUGGAGCACUCCUUUUAUUUUUGUUUUUCUGUUUUUUUUGGGAAGAAUUGGAAAAAAUGGACACUUUCAAUUUUAUUUUGGGGCUGAUUGUUUGGGAUGUAACUGUAGAAAAUUUAUUUUAGAAUUUAGUUCGUAGGAUUUUUGAUUUAGUUAUAAGGGAUAUAGCUUUAAAAUUUCAUAAAGCUAAAAAGAUGGGGCUUUAAAAAAUAAAAUUUUUACAACCAUUUUUUGUGUGUUUUUGUUGUACCUUUAGUUUUUUUGGUUGUAGUUUUAAAAACCAAGGUGAAACAUGAUUGGUAGUAUUUAAGGAUGUAAAUAAAAAUUAAAGCUAAAGUCACUUCCUACAGUCCAAUAGGAUUUUUGAUACUAUUGGUCAUUCUGAACAUAUUUUAUCAUUUUGUAAUAGAAAAAAUAGUAAAAUAAAAUUUUAAAAUAUAAAAAAUAUGAAAAGCAUUGUAAACAUAAGUUGACUAUUUUAUUAUUUUAUAUGUUUAAAAUUCUUUUAAAAAAUAGGAAAUCAUAUUUUAUUUUAUGUCCUAGCUAUAGAAUACUCAUUUUGGCUAUCUACUUAUCCAGAGUUUGGGUAGUAAGUAUUUUCCAUUUUUGGACCACUCCUUUUAUUUUUGUUUUUCUGUUUUUUUUUGGAAGAAUUGGAAAAAAUGGACACUUUCAAUUUUAUUUUGUCCCAAUAGGAUUUUUGAUACCCUUAGUCAUUUUGAACAGAUUUUACCAUUCUGUAAUGGAAAAAAUAGUAAACUAAAAUAUAAAAAUAUAAACAAAAUAUGAAAAGCAUUUUAAACAUAAGUAUGACUAUUUAUAUGUUUAAAUUCUUUAAAAAAAUAGGAAAUCAUAUUUUAUUUUAUGUCAUAACUGGGUUAAAAUACUCAUUUUGGCUAUCUACUUAUCUAGAGUUCGGAUAGUAAGUAUUAUACAUAGAUCUUUCCUAGAUAUAUAACUCAAACAAAACUUUAUUGUGUAUUCUAUUUUAGCUAUAAUUCGUUAGGUUAUAUUUUAGCAAAAUGUUUUUAGUGUACAUGUAGCUAGCUAUAUACAACUUAUAGUGACGAAUCUAUGAAUUACCUUUUCUUGUUUACGCAUUAUAACUUGUUAUGCCUACAGAAGAAUAAAUUUCCCACCCUAUCUACAGUGUUCUUCACAACGUAUAAUACAUAUUAUAGCCAAAUCACGAAAAAUAUGAAAAAACUUCCAGUCCGAUCUCUUGAACCUCAGUCUAGCCACUUGAGUAGUCUGAGUCCCAGUCUGCAACACAAUGGUAUUUGUGGUUAUAAACCACUGACCACUAACCACACACCAAUCCGAAAAUCUCUAUAAUACGUUACUAACCACUAACCACAUGUAACAAAAAUACAAACACUUUCAUCAUGAGUACUCACCUUAACUCACAACAACUUAAAAACCAGACUUUUCUUAUCUUUUUUUUUUUUGGUUUCCUGAUGUUAUUUGUUGUAUAAAUUUUGAAAAUUCCAUUAAUAUUCGUUCUUGACCACUUGACCACAACUAGAAAAAAACAAUCCUAUAGCAAUUAUCUAUGACCACAUCCAUGCACAACAUAAUUGUCCCUAGUUUUCAGGUUAUUUCAUCGAAUAUACAAAAUAUUUAUCAAGUAAAAACGAGUUUACCAAAUAGAUUUUUUAUUUAUGUUAUGAACUAAGAAAUGGAUUGCUAAUUUUAUCAACAAAAAUAAUUUUGCGCUUUGAAGAGCGGGUCAAAAUCUAGUUUAUAUAUUAAAUAUGAAAUGUUGGUGUAUUAGAUAUGUGUGUGUAAAGAUUAUAACUAAAUAAUUUUUUUUAAAAAAAAACACAUGGGAAACUAGAUUGUUACAAGACAAACAAGGUUCCUAACUAACUGUUUGAUUCAAGAAUAUUUAAGUAAAAAUAAAUUCAUUUACCUAGCUCAAAGUACACCACAAGUAAGAAGUAUGUCAAAGUGUAAGAUUCCAAUCCCAAAGUUUGUCAUAAUGCUAAGCAUUCAGGGGCUUCAGCUGAUGAUCCGGGCUGUUCUCAGUAUAAAAAAAAUACUUGGAUCAUUCGGAGGACGUGCCAUGUAACAAAUUUUCUAUAUUAUAAUCUCCAUAAAGCUUUUCACGUUUUCAUUAGUAAUUUACUUUAUUCUUUCUAUUAGAAGCCCAUUAAGCCUUGAAAUGAUAAACGACAAGCUCCAUUACAAUCGGUCCAUUACCAAUUGACUUAUUCGGCUUGUUAAGAGUAAAUAGGUCGGUAGCAUUUAAUUAAAAAUCAAAAUAUUAAAUAAUAUAAAUUGCUAAUUUCUGAUCACGCCUAGUUUCAUCGGCAUCUCUUCAAAGCCCUAAAUCUCCCAAUUUCAAUUGCGAUAAAUUUGGUCAGAGGAAAAUCCUUAUCUUACGUUACUCAGAUUUGUACAAAGGUAUGUUCUUUUGCAGUUUCUUCGAUCGAAUUUGGAAAUUCUAUUUCUGUUAAAUCUGGAAAUUGUAUUGCUGUGCUAUGUGGGAGAAAUUGAUGUUUCUGUCACUUUUAUUAUAUUGAAUGCAUCACUAAUAAGUUUUUUUUUUUUUUUUUUAAAUUUUGUUUGCAGAAAGCUAUUAUGAGAUUCAGAAAAGGAAGCAGAGUUGAGGUUUUAACCCUCAAAGAGUCCCCUUAUGGCGCGUGGCGAACGGCUGAGAUUCUUUCAGGCAAUGGUCACACGUACAUCGUUCGAUACUACUCGUUCGGGUUUGCAAAAGACGAGACAUUGGAGGAGAGAGUUGCGAGGAAGAUGAUCAGGCCGUGUCCUCCGCUAAUCGAUGUAUACAGGUGGGAAUCUGGCGAACUAGUUGAGGUUCUUGAUCAUGUUUUCUGGAAACCCGCUACUGUCCUCAAGGAGUUGUCGGGACGAUACUAUGCUGUUCGGUUACUUGGUUCCGCCUCGGUGGAGCUUACGGUUCAUAAAGUUAACCUCAGGGGUAGACAAUCUUGGCGAGAUGAAAGAUGGGGUCUGAUCGAAAAGGUGUCUUGUUCUGUGAAGUCCUCUACGUUGACUGGUUCUUAUGUAAACCAGAAGAAGCUUAAGCCACGUGAGAGGAGUGUUGUUUCUAUAAGACUGGUGAAGAGACCUUCACCCUGUGAGUCUGCUGAAUCUUGCACGGGAACUCCUAAGAAGAUGAGAUUGACGGAAGGAGGUGCUGCUACUUGCUGUCAAAUGGUGAGGGUAAGAACAAAAAGGUUUAGUGAUGAUGCAUGCUCGGUUGGUAGUUGUAGCCC